GGUGUGCUGUUUUCUGGCUCCUCUAAGAAGAUAAUUUCUAAAUUUUACAGUUUUGAGCUACUUGAGGUUUGCAUUCACCGUGUUAGAUCGUGCAGCAGCAUUCGCUUUAUAAAAUCAAAAUAUGUGUGCGUGUUUGACAAAUCUGCCCUCAAGUUUAGUCAUCAACAGCGAUUAUUCAGAACAUCUGCUGUUUCGUGUGGCCAAAUUGUCCAGUUUAAGCUUUCUGACAUUGGAGAAGGGAUUACGGAGGUGACUGUAAAAGAAUGGUA